GAAGUGCCGCCGGGCCCGCCCCUCCCUCCUGAGGCCCGUUCCCCUCGCCCCUCCCUCGGCCCACUCUUCAUGGCUCAAUUUCGGCUCCCGGAGCUGGUUCUACCAGGGCCCCAGCACCGGUCCAGAGAGGAGGCCCCGGGUCCGCGCGUCUGGUUGUGUCGGGCGGUGCUCUCUGUCCUUCUCACUCCCCAGCCCUCCCUUCCAUUUCUCGGUUACCUGCGCGGCUGCAGGCGCCGCCGGGGACUGCACAGGUAAAAGUCUCGGCAAGUGAGGGCGCAGGUGUGGGCGCCUCCUGGGCCAGGCGGGCAGGGGAGAGGCCGACGGCACGUGCCUGGCUCUAAAAAGAUUUUUUUUUUUUAACAGGGAUUGUAUUGACAGUGGGGGCUUGGGGAGGGCAGACACGGACCCUGGGAGCGCUGCAGGGCACUGGGGGGAGAGAGGGGCGGGACUGAAGCCCCGGAGAUUGGGGGCCGGUUCCUUUACGGCCCCGCAGCUUGCGCAGGCUCCGUGGUGCCUGGGAGGUGGUGCGCCGGUUGGGUGGGGGCGGGUCCAGGCCGCGGCGUCGGAGAAUUGUCCCCCAUCCAGUCCCCGCGAUGACUGGGUUUUGACAGCCUCCCCUCCCGAGCGCGCACAUUCCCAGGUUUGCAGAAUGAAAAUCAAUAAAAUCGAUGCAGUGGCAAAGAACGCGAAACAUGUUGGGUUAUUAUUAUUAUUUGUGUUUGUUAAAUUUUUUUUCUUUAAACUUUUUUCUUAUAAAAGGUGGUUUCAGCUUGGAUAAUGGCCUCAGAGAGGGACGAAAAACGCCCCCUGGUUUCCCAGCAGGGUCCGGGGACCCGUCUUAGGUCCCAAGCCUCGAAAAACGUCCCAGGGCGGCUGUGCGGGGUCUGGCGGCGGGAAAGAAGCCCGGGGCACGCUCGGUUUCCGGAUACGGCUAUUCACCGCACCUCACCCUCUGCCCUUUAGGGAGAUGGCCCCCCUCCACCGAUAUUUCCCCGGUUCACCACCCCCACGCCCCGGGAACCGCGCCUCCUCCCCUCCCCCGCGCUCUCCCCGGCGCUUUAAGUAAUGAUAUUUGCAUGCAGGGAGCGAUUCAUAAAUAUGUCAGGGCUGGUGAAAUAUA
rnacentral:lncRNA from 1 species